AUUGAACGCUGGCGGCAGGCCUAACACAUGCAAGUCGAGCGAGCGGCGGACGGGUGAGUAAUGUAUGGGGACUGCCCGAUGGAGGGGGAUAACUACUGGAAACGGUAGCUAAUACCGCAUACUAUCGGAUAACCCAUAUGGGAUUAGCUAGUAGGUGAGGUAAUGGCUCACCUAGGCGACGAUCCCUAGCUGGUCUGAGAGGAUGAUCAGCCCAACGGGGACUGAGAAAGGGCCCAGACUCCUACGGAGGCGGCAGUGGGGAAUAUGGAAAAAGGGGCGCAAGCCUGAUGCAGCCAGGCCGCGUGUAUGAAGAAGGCCCUAGGGUUGUAAAGUACUUUCAGUCGGGAGGCGUUACCGACAGAAGAAGCACCGGCUAAUUCCUUGCCAGCAGCCGCGGUAAUA
rnacentral:rRNA from 1 species